CAGUCGCCGCGGUAAAACGGAGGGUGCAAGCGUUAAUCGGAAUUACUGGGCGUAAAGCGCACGCAGGCGGUUUGUUAAGUCAGAUGUGAAAUCCCCGGGCUCAACCUGGGAACUGCAUCUGAUACUGGCAAGCUUGAGUCUCGUAGAGGGGGGUAGAAUUCCAGGUGUAGCGGUGAAAUGCGUAGAGAUCUGGAGGAAUACCGGUGGCGAAGGCGGCCCCCUGGACGAAGACUGACGCUCAGGUGCGAAAGCGUGGGGAGCAAACAGGAUUAGAUACCCCUGUAGUCCCUGUCUCUUAUAC
rnacentral:rRNA from 1 species